AUUUUGUUGCUAACAACCCAAAAGACAUCAAUGCACAAUUAGUAAAAACAACUUUUAAUUAUUCCAUCGAAACUAUAAGGUACAAUUUAGCAUUUAGAAGCCUGCUAAAUGUCUCCCAGCAAUGCGCGAGAUAUCUUCUAGUUUAAUUAUCCAGUGAAAGAAACUUUCUAGGAUGCUUGACGGGCUCUUGACUUGUGCACUUCGCACAGAAGCAGAUCCGUUCCUUGAGUGCACAGUAUCCACCUGGGUACCCGGAGUCUACGCACUGCUGAACGCACGCAGGGAUGCUGUAGCAGUACGGAUCCGGUGCCUUGCUGUAGACGUCGCACUGAACGAUAUGACCAGCCGAAUCUGUUAACAUCAAAGGCAGUUUAUCAUGUUAUAUAAAAACCAUAAUCUUUUUUUCUUAGUAUGUAACGAUUGUUGAAACAGUAAUGCAUUGUUGUACUUACCGCAGGACACGAGGAGUGCCUGAAUCAAGAUGGAUACAACGGCAACGGCAAUUUUGUAAGCCAUUUUGGNGGGGCGGGCGCGGGCGCGGGCGGGGGGGAGGUCAAUUUUGUAAGCUACGAGAACGAAACUGAAGCACUGCUUUUGAUUCACGAGGACCUGUGUUUUUAUAGGGAUGGAGCAAGGGAGCUCGUGAGGCGUUUGAGAUCGAUUUCUUUUUAUUGUUUCUUGACUC
rnacentral:lncRNA from 1 species